rnacentral:lncRNA from 1 species
AGAGCCUCAAGCUCCCAAACCAAACCCUUCCCACACCCUCCGCCGCCGCAGCCACACCACAGCAGCCAUGCCGCCCAAGUUGGACCCAUCUCAGGUGGUGGAGGUCUUCGUCCGCGUGACGGGAGGCGAGGUCGGCGCGGCGUCGUCGCUGGCACCCAAGAUCGGCCCGCUCGGUCUCUCCCCGAAGAAGAUCGGUGAGGACAUCGCCAAGGAGACCGCCAAGGACUGGAAGGGCCUCCGCGUCACCGUCAAGCUCACCGUGCAGAACCGGCAGGCCAAGGUCUCCGUCGUGCCCUCCGCCGCGGCGCUCGUCAUCAAGGCGCUCAAGGAGCCCGAGAGGGACAGGAAGAAGGUCAAGAACAUCAAGCACAGUGGCAACAUCAGCC